CCGGAUUCAACAUUUGAAUGUAACAUUUGAAUUUUGAAAUUGAAGGAAUUCAUUUGAAUCUAAAGCUUGCAGGGUCAAGACCGAUACAUUCUUGCAACACAUGACUCGAAAAGAAAAUCUCGUGAACAAUAACUCGGCUACUGUACCAUUUAAAGGCGCACACCUUUUCGCGCAGCAUUGAUUUAAAUUUUUUUGUUCGUGGCUCAACAGUGCAAUGGACAUCUAGAUAUCUGAAAUUUUACCACUGAAUUCAGUUCAUUUUUUAAGCAUCUUCAAAAAUUUGCGUUUUCCUAAUUUUCUUGUGAUCGUUUUUUUUUUGAAAGUACAAUCGUACAUUAUAAAUAACUAUUUUUC
ensembl:lincRNA linc-117 ncRNA